UUUCUAGAUAAAAAAAAAAAAAAAAAAAAAAAAGUGUGUGUGUGGCAGAGACUUGGCUUUAGGGAAGCUCCAUGGUUACUUCAGUUGCUUUAUAAUGUGCCUACUACUGCUGUGAGAUUCAGUGGAGCAAAGGUCCCUUUGUUUCAAUGCCACAAAAAACUUUCAGCGAUUGGAUGGUGCUCAUGAGUUCUUUUCCUCCAUCAGACCUGCUUUAAAAAGACUUCAAUAGCAUUAUGGAUUAUUAUUUAACUCCAACCCCAUCAGCAAAGGUGUUGGACAGCUUUGUAAAAGUAAGUUGUUUUCUUUUUAUUUCUCUUUUAUUAAAUCAUUUUUGGACUAGAAUGUGACUCCAACGGCACAGAUCACAUUUCUGCACAUAACUCUUCUAUUGACAGUGAACUAUGCCGAAUGAUAGUCUGCAACCAUCUCUCUAUAAUGAAUACAAUCCAGUGUGACUACUGACUGCAUGCCUGUGUCCACACAAUGCUCCAACCACACACACACACACACACACACACACACACGUAUACACACAACGGUCACACUGUUCUAGUCGGGGUGGAAACAAGCUGUACCGGGAAGCUUGACUGUGCCAGCAGGCUAACAAAGUCCCCACUGUGUGUGUGAGAGUGCGAGUGUGUUGGCCUUCUAAAAACACUCUGCUGUCCGUUCUGGAGCAGUGCUGCAGGUGUUGGGCUGUCGGCAAUUUUGCUUUCGGCUUUUAAUGUUGUGCACAGCUUGGCACCUUUUUGCUGCGUUAGUGAAAGUCCCACAGAGUUGAACUUAACAAUAAAUGUUUCUGUAUCCAAGAGGAAAUUGGAACACGUAAACAACCCACACAAGAAUCUGUGCACUGGUAAAGGUCUGACUGCACAGUUCUAACGGAUACUGCAUCGGGGGCUAAAAAACAAUGGUUGCAAACCUUUCAGGCUAGUGAUCCUUUAUAAGGAAGUAAUAUUUAAUCCAUGUGUAAGCUAUUUACCAAAUAUUCAAUGGUUAUUAAAUGUUUUAUACAGAUUUUUUCACAUAUGCCGCAGCAUAUCCCCAGCCCUUGUAAACAGACCUUGAUGUGGCUUUAAAACUAACUGCCUUAGGGGAGCAUCCAGAAGCAAACUAAUUUUCCUCCCCUGAAGCCUCGCUGCUCUCAUCGAGCCCGUCCCACCACCUCCCUCUACCUCCCUCUACCUCUUUGUCAAUCUUUCACCCUAAUCUCCAUAAUGCAGUCUCUGGCAGGAGCUGCUGUAUGUGCUUUGUCCAGGGCUGGGCUCUGGCUCUGGGAUGAUGAGCAGGUAGCUAUAUGGGUACUCUCUCUACUGGUAAUUGCAGCUGAGGCAGAGCAGGCACAGCAUGAUGGCAAGGCGUGCAGACACACACACUUACUUCUAUCUUUGUGAGGACACUAAUUGACAUAAUGCAUUCCCUUGCCUCUUUCCCUAACCUCAACCACCACAACUAAAUGUCUAACCACAACCCUUCCCUUAACCUAAACCUAAAACCAAGUCUUAAGCCUCAAAACAGCCCUUUGCAGCUGUGACGACCGGUCCUCAUGUCCUCACUCUGUAAGGUCCAUAACUCCGAGUGGUCCUCAAAAAGAUAGACGUACAAGUACACAUGCACACACAAACACACACACGAAGCCAAGCACAAGUACCUAUUACGUUUACACCAAUCUUAACUCUUGUCCAUCACAUUUUUUCUUCUACUCAAAUAGCACGCUAACCAGCUAGCCCCGGCGCGUCUCGUCACUUUCCGAUAGCGACUCACUGCAGCCUCCAAUCCACCCUGAAGACGAAGCGCUGCACGCAGGACGUGUUAUAACCUCUGGCAAGCAACAAUCACCACCAGCCGCUACCGGCAAGAAUCAAUGUUCAGCAACUUACAAAUAGCCUCUCUAACGUUGAAGGACCUUCGUCGUCAUGGCUACAAAAAUGAACAUGAAAUGGUCAUAGAGAAAACAACGCUUUGUCAGCCUAUCCAUCCACCCCAACCUCCUCCUAAGACGGACUUUAUACGACAUCACAAUUACUACAACUGCUAGAGGUCACCUGACAAUAAAACAUAACUAUGGCUCGUAAUAAGCUGCUGGCCAAUGGGGUCUUAUUGCUGUUAUAUGUAGGUCUACUAUUACUGUUAUCUUUGACAAUAAAGUGAUAUGACAUUUUUUUAAACUUCAUUUGCUUUAAAGAAAUACAGUAUAAGGGGACUCUACAGUAUGUAUUACCUUGAAGAAAAAAAAAUCAGUUGUACGUAAGUUGGUACAAAUCAAACAUAAGGAUCCUUAUUCAUCAAAAUAACUACAUAAUAAUGUUUCUUCAUUUUCUGACCAGUCACCUAAGGACUGUUAUAUUCCCAUCUUAUUUUCUACUAUAGCAAUCUAAUACUACUAUAUUUCAGGUAGUGCUUCCUUAAAUGGGGAAAGUUUUACCUUUACCUACACAUCAGGCAGUCCACCUCAUUGGCUACAUAAGAGCUGUGCAUCAUUACUACCUGCUACGAGGCACCUGCAGGGAAAUAAAUGAAUAGAAGCACGGAGGAGGGCAUCAGUUUAGUGGCCGCUGCAGGGGGGCGUUUAUAACACCUGGCAAGCUACCCAACCCCGCACAAUAAGGAUCCUGGCUGCUAGCUUUUUAUCAGCCGUAUCGAAUUACCAUGUACCAUGCUGAACCACAAGCCACAGCCACAGGUAAAAAAAACACACACACACACACACACACACACACACACACACACACACACACACACACACACACACACACACACACACACACACACAACACACACACACACACACACACACACACACACACACACACACACACACACACACACACACACACACACACACACACACACACACACACACACACACACACACACACACACACACACACACACACACACACACACACACACACACACACACACACACACACACGCAAUGUUUGUAACCAAGAGGAAUCAGAGGUGAGAAAGAAAAGUGGGACCAUGACAUCUGGUGGGAGGAAGCGAUACGCGAUGAGAAGACGAUGGAAGGAAAGGAUGGGAAAAUGAAGUGGCGGGGACCAUAUAAUGCAGAAUCUGGCAGAGAAGUGGUGGUGGAGGAGGAGGAGGAGGACGGGGAAGAGGGUGGAUUAAUAGGAUCCGUAAAAAGGUAAGUGGGCUGGAGCAUCCUGCUAAUAUCAGUCUGUUGCCAUCACCCUAAAAAUGUGUUGCCACAACUUUCUAUAAAACAUGUCGCGGGUAAUGAGAGACCAUGUCAUCCAUUCAGUCUAAUUUCCAUUUUACAGCCCUUUGAUAGGAGGAAUCAGAGAGCACAGGCUCCGACAGGGACUUUAUGGGCCUGGAUGUAUAUGUGUGUCAUCCAGUCCUUUGAUGUGUUCCUGUUGAUGAACUGGACAGCAUAAAAAGCAAUGACAAAUUUAAUGAACGCUAUAGACAGUGCUGUCAAUGCUCCAAUUGAGUAAAGUGGUUAUUUCCACGUCUGUGGUCAUGCAUAUCUGACACAGUAAUUUUUUUUGGUCAGCGCAUGUGAUAAUCCUGCAUUAAUGCGCUCAACUGAACCAGCAGGGUGGGUAAAAAGGUAAAAAGGUCUCUCUGGGUCUUUGUAUUAUCAUAAUAAUACUAUCUCGUUUUUUUAGCCGAGUUUCUGUGCGCUUUGCUCAUCUGCGGUUUCAAUCCUGCUGAGGACUUCAUUGUUUUUGAUUCUCUGCUGAUCCCCGAGGGGAAUAAUUACACUUUUUGUCCCCCAGAGGUCAGAGGUCAGCGUCAGCCUCACGGCAGCAUCCCCCUGAGCUGUUUCAGUGAUUCCUCAGAGAAUGUACCUGUCCAUCACCGCCACGCCUGUGGGGCCUCGAGAGGGAGGAACCAGGGGAGGAGAAAUAAUGAGAGCUCACACCGGCUGCGAAGAAUUCAGAGAACUCUCCCACUGUGGGGGGCUCUUCCUCCCUUUAUCUCACCACUUUAGUCCAGUGGCGCUGCAAAAGACACCCACCUCAACAACGGGGACACACCCUCCGGUGACCACUCACUCACGAUCCAAAAGGCGAGAGGGAGCGUGAGAGAGAGACAGAGAGAGAGAGAGGGUUGCGAUCACACCUCAGCAGCCUUUUGGGGCGACUCCGCGCGGCGCAACAGCGAGCUAAGAAACUUCAAAGAGCCAGAGCUGAGCGCCGGGGCUUGUGCCAAACUGCAUUGUCAGUUUGUCUAGCAGCAGAUAGUAACAGUAACCGCCACCCAAAACAAAAGAGGCCUAUUAUUCCCACAAUAGGAUUCUGACUGCACCGGGAUAUAACAGUUCAAUAAAUGAUUUUUAUAUACAGCUCAUCACGUUUUCUUUUUUGUUUCCUCUCUCUCUCUCCUUCUCUCUCUCUCUCACUCCUCUGGUGGAUUUAAAUGACACUGUUGUGCACUGCAACUGUCAGAGGGGGGAAAUGGAAGCAAAAGAAGAAAGUGGAGGGGAGAAAGGGCAGAAAGCUUAUUGAUGUGGGAAGGUGCUGGUUCUUCAGUUUCAACACUAGAAUAGUUUUAGUGCAGCAGAUUAAAAGAAGAGUACCGAAACACAGGGGGAGGGAAUAGACACGUUCUUGUAAUCAUGAUUUCUGUGUCUGGUAAUUAAGAUUUAGCGUCUCAUAAAACGAGAAAACAAUAUCAUUAUCGUGUAAAUAUGAGA